CAUCAUCAUCCGCGCACCCCCACCCCGGCUCUCUCUCUCUCGCUCCCUCUCUCUGUCUUCUUUCUGUGUUAGCUUCGACACAUCGGGCGGCUCAUGUCGAACCGAUCAGCCGAUAGCUGUCCUCACACCUGUCGAGGGCAACAGCGCGAGGAGCACCCUGAUCACGCCCGCAGCAGCACGAUGACGGUAGGUGCGGCGCGCACGGCCAAGCCGACGGCGACGUCGCAGAGUGCAGGGCAGCGCUCUCAACGCCAGUCGCGCUCGCAGCCGCGCCGCUCCGGAUGUCUUGGCGUGCUCCAGGCCAUCCGUGACGGCGUCAUCAAAGCGGUGUACGUGAUCGUUCCGCCUGGCGGCAUUCUCUCCGGCGCCUUCAACAUGGCGAGUGCAUCCAUCGGCGCCGGCAUCCUUGGCCUGCCGGCGGCGACCGACUCAGCAGGCAUCAUCCUCGCCAUGAUCUUCCUCGCCGUCAUCACGUACUUCUCCGUCUUCUCCAUGUACAUCCUGGCACUCGCAUCGGAGAACACGCGCAUCAAGACCUUCGAGGGCUUGGCGCGCUGGCUCUUCCCGGCGAGAAGGUACGCCUUCUCCUACUGGGCCGCGUUCGUCAGAUGGUUCUACGGCUUCUCUGGCUGCGUCGCCUACAUCAUCAGCGUGGGCAACUGCCUUGGUCCCAUCUUCACCGGCGCCGCAAAGCAGCACCCCGACAACAGAGCCAUCCAGUUCCUCGCCACCACGCAGGGCAACCGCGUGCUCACAGUCAUCGUUUGGCUCUUCGUGAUGCUGCCGCUGGUUAUUCCGAAACACAUCGACUCACUGCGCUACGCCUCCGCCAUCGCGGUGACGUUCAUGGUGUACUUUGUCUUCGUGGUUGUCGCACACAGCUGCCGUAACGGGCUGGCGGAAACGUCCAAGCACGUGAAGCUGUCCGGCAACCAGGCGGAUGACGGCAAGCUGGAGCACAACACCGUCUUUCUUUUUCGCACCGGCAACUCCGUAAUCCACUCCGUCGGCAUCUUUGUUUUCGCGUACGUGUGCCAAAUAAACGCGCAGGAGGUUCUGUGGGAUUUGCGGCCCGAAAUUCGCACGACGAAGAGCUUCACGCUGUCGGCGUUCAUUGGGAUGAUGCUGUGCGGCACGCUGUACGUGCUGGUAAGCGUGUUCGGGUACUUCGACUUUGGCAGCAAGAACCUGCUCGGCAAGUCGCUGCUGCUCAUGUUCAACCCGCUCGAGGAGGCCGACAUCAUGAUUGCCUACGUUGCCGUCAUGAUCAAGGUAUGCGUCGCCUACGCGCUACUCACCAUUGCGGCGCGCAACUCCCUGUACUACCUGAUCGGCUUCCAGCACCGCUACCGCAACCGCACCGAGGCUGGCGGCGCGGAGGAGCUCGGCUUUGUCGCUGGCGACGCCGACGCCACCGUCCAGCAGACCGCGAAUCCGCCCGCGGCGGUGGCCGACAGCGACGCUGUCCAGUCCUGCAAGCUCGAAGGGGUGGACAACAGCCACGGCAUGGAGGGGACAACGAAAGGCCGCAAUCCCUCCCAAACCGUCGAUGAGGACUACGAAGCAGGUGAGGGCGUGGACGAGGAGUACGUGGACGGGACCGCGGAGGACACGACGUACGUGGACAACAUCCCGUUCUGGCAGCACCUGCUGGUCGUGCUUGUGCUCUCCGUCGCGUCGCUGCUGUGUGGCCUGUUCAUCCCGAACAUCAACACCGUCUUCGGCUUCACCGGCUCGAUCAGCGGCGGCUUCAUCGCCUUUAUCUUCCCCGCGCUCUUCGUCAUGUACUCGGGCAACUUCACGGUGGCGCAGGUGGGAUGGUUCACGUACCUGAACACGUACCUGCUGCUGAUCUGCGGUGUUGUCGGCAUUGUCUUCGGCACCGGCGGCACCAUCUACGUUACGAUCUAGGCGGCGGGGGUGUCUGCGUUGUAGCGCACGGCGCGAGCAGCUGUGCGGGUGUCGGCUUCGGCCACUCACGACUUCUUUCACAAUCUGCAAUCGAUCCUCGCUGUCGUCACGCUGACCGGAGGCGCGCUCAGCGGAAGGCGCUUUGGUGGGCUGCACGCAAUUGGUGCGUCAGAGGCACGCGAGCACCAGCGCUGCCUCCGCUCUCUUGUCGGCCGAGUGCGGUGGGCCGACGGGCAGGUGGAGGGGUGUCGAGCGCUACUUGUAGCGGAGAGCGGCACGGCAUUGCGGGACGAGCAUGAAGCCGCAUGCAGCGCCGGGAUUUUAUCGGCCUCCAAACGGACGAGUGCUCAGAGGCAGCUGGGGAAGGGGACAAGAGGACGCGGCCGACUCGCCUUCGGUCUCACUUGUCUUGUCGCUGCACGACGCGUCUGGAAGCAGGCGGUGUCGACGGAAAGCGAGUGAGCGCCUAUGCCAUCGCAGCCCCUCUCGGCGUAUGCGUACGCGUGGGUGCACGUCUCUCUUUGCCCCCUCUUUUUUUUGUUUUACGUCACUGCUGAUAACGUUAUGAGGCUCCGCUGGACUUGAUAAGUGCGCGUCUCCGUAUGCGCUAACACCAGCGCGUGUAUCUCUUUUUCUUCCCUUUCCGCCUUUCUCUGUGCACGUGUGUGCGCAUCGCGGCUAAGGCGUGUAUAUGUGCGACUGCAUGAGUGAAAGAUACAGAGCGUGUUGGCGUAUGCGGCGGACAAGGCGUUUGACCUGAUGAUGUGAAGGAUGAGAUAAGGAUGGUGUACGGUCAGUCGGGUGGCGCUUCUCCUCUCGCGUCGUACGAGCGCGCGACGCGUGAGCACUCUGUCUGCGUUGCGAAUGCGCUCUGCCUCGCCGAAGCCUGUUUUUGUCCGUCUCCGCAUCGCUACGCAGGCGCGCGCGCACGCAAUAUCGAGCAGAAUCAGCCACGAGCAGCAGCAUCACUCUCAUGAGCCGUCGCUGUGCCCACCGCCCUUUCUUCCUCGCCCUGCCUCCUCACCACUAUACUGUCGCGUGUGCACACAUACGCACAUAUGAGGUGCUUCUCUUCUGCUCCCUCCUUUGUUUCCCUUGACCAUUUUGUUUUGUUCCGGCUUAUCGGCCGCUCCUGUGCUUGCCUGUCUGGCGGGCUGCUGGUGCCUCCGUGGCGGCGUCUUUAUCUUGCGGCGGCCUUUUUUAUGCUUGUCAGCGUUGUUUCUGUGUUAGCCUCAGCGGGGAACACCCCAACCGUUGUGACGAAGAG
rnacentral:misc_RNA from 1 species